CCAAACCAGGUGUGCCUGUGG
rnacentral:miRNA from 14 species